UACGGGGGGGGCAAGCGUUGUUCGGAAUUACUGGGCGGAAAGGGCUCGUAGGUGGCCAACUAAGUCAUACGGGAAAUCCCUCGGCUUAACCGGGGAACUGCGUCUGAUACUGGAUGGCUUGAGGUUGGGAGAGGGAUGCGGAAUUCCAGGUGUAGCGGUGAAAUGCGUAGAUAUCUGGAGGAACACCGGUGGCGAAGGCGGCAUCCUGGACCAAUUCUGACACUGAGGAGCGAAAGCCAGGGGAGCAAACGGG
rnacentral:rRNA from 1 species